AUUGAACGCUGGCGGCAGGCCUAACACAUGCAAGUCGAGCGAGCGGCGGACGGGUGAGUAAUGUCUGGGAAACUGCCUGAUGGAGGGGGAUAACUCCUGGAAACGGUAGAUAAUACCGCAUACCAUCAGAUGUUCCCAGAUGGGAUUAGCUAGUAGGUGGGGUACCGGCUCACCUAGGCGACGAUGCCUAGCAGGUUUGAGAGGAUGACCGGCAACACAGGAACUGAUACACGGUCCAGACUCCGACGGUAGGCAGCAGUGGGGAAUAUUGCACAAUGGGCGCAAGCCUGAUGCAGCCAUGCCGCGUGUGUGAAGAAGGCCUUCGGGUUGUAAAGCACUUUCAGCGGGGAGGCGUUACCCGCAGAAGAAGCACCGGCUAACUCCGUGCCAGCAGCCGCGGUAAUAC
rnacentral:rRNA from 1 species